UGAACCUCACUUGUGGGGGGAUUAGUGGCGAACGGGUGAGUAACACGUGAGUAACCUGCCCUUAACUCUGGGAUAAGCCUGGGAAACUGGGUCUAAUACCGGAUAUGACUCCUCAUCGCAUGGUGGGGGGUGGAAAGCUUUUUUGUGGUUUUGGAUGGACUCGCGGCCUAUCAGCUUGUUGGUGAGGUAAUGGCUCACCAAGGCGACGACGGGUAGCCGGCCUGAGAGGGUGACCGGCCACACUGGGACUGAGACACGGCCCAGACUCCUACGGGAGGCAGCAGUGGGGAAUAUUGCACAAUGGGCGCAAGCCUGAUGCAGCGACGCCGCGUGAGGGAUGACGGCCUUCGGGUUGUAAACCUCUUUCAGUAGGGAAGAAGCGAAAGUGACGGUACCUGCAGAAGAAGCGCCGGCUAACUACGUGCCAGCAGCCGCGGUAAUACGUAGGGCGCAAGCGUUAUCCGGAAUUAUUGGGCGUAAAGAGCUCGUAGGCGGUUUGUCGCGUCUGCCGUGAAAGUCCGGGGCUCAACUCCGGAUCUGCGGUGGGUACGGGCAGACUAGAGUGAUGUAGGGGAGACUGGAAUUCCUGGUGUAGCGGUGAAAUGCGCAGAUAUCAGGAGGAACACCGAUGGCGAAGGCAGGUCUCUGGGCAUUAACUGACGCUGAGGAGCGAAAGCAUGGGGAGCGAACAGGAUUAGAUACC
rnacentral:rRNA from 1 species